UACAGAGGGUGCGAGCGUUGUUCGGAAUUACUGGGCGUAAAGGGUUUGUAGGUGGCUUGCUAAGUCAGACGUGAAAUCCCUCAGCUUAACUGGGGAACUGCGUCUGAGACUGGCAAGCUUGAGUACAGGAGAGGAACGCGGAAUUCCAGGUGUAGCGGUGAAAUGCGUAGAUAUCUGGAGGAACACCGGUGGCGAAGGCGGCGUUCUGGACCGACAUUGACGCUGAUGAGCGAAAGCUAGGGGAGCAAACGGG
rnacentral:rRNA from 1 species